AUGAAGCUGAACAGCUCCUUCCUAGCCAUUGGCUGCCAGAAACUCAUUAAAGUGGAAGAUGAACGCAAACUUCGUACUUUUUAUGAGAAGCAUAUGGCCACAGAAAUUGCUGCUUAUGCUCUGGGUGAAGAAUGGAAGGGUUAUGUGGUCCGAAUCAGUGGUGGGAACAACAAACAAGGUUUCUUGUUUGUUGGUGGGAACAACAAGCAGGGUAUCUUGACCCAUGGCCAUGCCCGCCUGCCUGUUACAUUCCUGUUAUAUAUAGACCAAGGAAAGCUGGAGAAAGAAAGAGAAAAUUAGUUCGUGGUUGCACUGUGGAUGCCAAUCUGAGCAUUCUCAACUUUGUUAUUGUGAAAAAAAAGAGAGAAGGCUAUACCUGGACUGACUGAUACUAGGGUGCCUCGUCACCUGGGGCCUAAAAGAGCUAGCAGAAUCCGCAAACUUUUCUUUUUUGAGACGGAGUCUCGCUCUGUCGCCCAGGUUUUAGCGCAGUGGCGAGAUCUCAGCUUACUGCAACCUCCGCCUCCCGGGUUCAAGUAAUUCUCCCGCCUCAGCCUCCUGAGUAGCUGGGACCACGGGGAAUGCCACCACACCCAGCUAAAUUUUUGUAUUUUUAGUAGAGACGGAGUUUCACCUUGUUAGCCAGGAUGGUCUUGAUCUCCUGACCUCGCGAUCUGCCCGCCUCGGCCUCCCAAGUUGCUGGGAUUACAGGCCUGAGCCACCGCGCCUGGUCAAACUUUUCAGUGUCUCUAAAGAAGAUGAUGUCUGCCAGUAUGUUGUAAGAAAGCCCUUAAACAAAGAAGGUAAGAAACCUAGGACCAAAGCACCCAAGAUUCAGCAUCUUGUUACUCCACGUGUCCUGCAGCACAAACAGCAGCCUAUUGCUCUGAAGAAGCAGUGUACUAAGAAAAACAGGGAAGAGGCUGCAGAAUAUGCUAAACUUUCGGCCAAGAGAAUGAAGGAGGCUAAAGAGAAGCGCAAGGAACAAGUUGUGAAGAGACGCAGACUUUCCUCUCUGCGAGCUUCUGCUUCUAAGUCUGAAUCUAGUCAGGAAAAA
rnacentral:lncRNA from 1 species